rnacentral:rRNA from 1 species
CCUACGGGAGUCAGCAGUGAGGAAUAUUGGUCAAUGGACGAGAGUCUGAACCAGCCAAGUAGCGUGAAGGAUGACUGCCCUAUGGGUUGUAAACUUCUUUUAUAUGGGAAUAAAAUGUUCCACGUGUGGCAUUUUGUAUGUACUAUAUGAAUAAGGAUCGGCUAACUCCGUGCCAGCAGCCGCGGUAAUACGGAGGAUCCGAGCGUUAUCCGGAUUUAUUGGGUUUAAGGGGAGCGUAGGUGGAUUGUUAAGUCAGUUGUGAAAGUUUGCGGCUCAACCGUAAAAUUGCAGUUGAGACUGGCAGUCUUGAGUACAGUAGAGGUAGGCGGAAUUCGUGGUGUAGCGGUGAAAUGCUUAGAUAUCACGAAGAACCCCGAUUGCGAAGGUAGCUUACUAGACUGUGACUGACACUGAUGCUCGAAAGUGUGGGUAUCAAACAGGAUUAGAUACCCGGGUAGUC